rnacentral:lncRNA from 1 species
GCCCACCUCAGAACUGUCCUGAGUGCUGAAAUGGUGCCUGGUUGCAGCUGACAUUCCUGUUCCUUCACUUAAGUGCUCUGCCGGAGCACUAGUGGGCUGAAGGCAGCAGUAGGGCAAUGGAAAGCCUGGCCAAAGGCUUCUAGAACUUGAAGCUCACAAUUUUUGGAUGACAUUCUGUGAACAAAGUGUUCUCUAUAAGAUACUAAGAGCAAUAUAGGGUAAUCACUGGUGACAGAAACAUCUGCUCAUACAGGUUCAUGUCAAAGUCCAGGGUUGAAGGAGAACCCCUCAUCCCAGGU